rnacentral:lncRNA from 1 species
AAAAAAAGUAUUUUGAAGAAAGUUAGUGGAGCCUCAUAAUCCUUCCACUUGGAUAUUGCAACCUAAGAGCAGAAUCAUGCCUGGCUUGCUCACCAUAAUGUAUUCCCUGUGGAAUCUGUUCCUUGAUUUCACUGUCCCAGAAAGAUUUAUACUCUGGAAGAGAAAGAAGAAAUCUAGACACAACCUCAUGGUUUUGUAUUUUGUUACUCCACAUAAUCAUUUUGUCUCAAAAAUAAUUUACUUUGUGGUAUGUAAUAUAUAG